GCUCCCUUUGACACAAGUUUGACGAUCGCCCUCUAUUCACACCAACCUCUCGCAUCUUCCCGUCUCUCUCUCUCUCUCUCUCUCCCGUGUCCGAGUCCUCUAUUUGGGAACCGGACGGGACGAUAUUUCCUUAUUCUCACUCAGUCCUCACAUAUACAGCUUUUCUCUCCUCCUCCGCACCCUCUCCCCCCUAUGUGUCAUGGAGGGACAUCACCUAAUAACUGUUAACGUCGACACAGCCGAUCGGUUCCCUCAAUGGAGCCUUCAGGAGACCAAAGAGUUCUUAUCGAUCCGAGCGGAACUGGAUCGAACUUUCAUGGAGACCAAACGUAACAAGCUCCUCUGGGAGGUCGUCUCAACCAAGUUGAAGGAGAAGGGCUACAAUCGAAGUGCAGAUCAGUGCAAGUGCAAGUGGAAGAACCUUGUUACCCGGUACAAGGGUUGCGAAACUAUUGAGCCCGAGUCCAUGAGACAGCAAUUCCCAUUUUACAACGAGCUACAAGCAAUCUUCACGGCCAGGAUGCAGAGGAUGCUAUGGCAAGAAGCCGAAGGUGUAGUCAGUAGUACUAAUUUAAAGAAGAAAACGGGGCGAUUAUCAUCCGAUGACGACGACGAUGAAAGCUACGAGGACAAGGAUAGUGGUAGGAAGAAGAAAAAGAGUAGGAGCAAUAACAGUACCGGUACGGGUAGCAGUAGCAGUGCUAACAAUAAUUUACAAGAGAUACUGGAGGAAUUCAUGAGGCAACAACUGCAGAUGGAGGUGCAAUGGCGAGAGGCGGUGGAGGCGAGGGAAGAGCAGAGAAGAUUGAAGGAGAUGGAAUGGAGAGAAGCGAUGGAAGCCUUGGAGAAAGAACGGUUGUUGAUGGAUAGAAGGUGGAGGGAGAUAGAGGAACAAAGAAGGCUUCGAGAGGAAGCCAGGGCUGAGAAAAGGGACGCCCUCAUUACAGCUCUUCUGAACAAGUUAAGGCGUGAAGACAUGUAAGUUAAUUUUGCAGGCAAGAGCUGCUGCAGCGCUAGCUGCUCUUGUUUUCCUUGUUUCGAAGAGAAGCUCUGAGAGUUGAAGCAACCUCAGAGGCAGGAAUAUUGGGUUGUGUAAAAAUCCAACAAAAAUUGCUUCAAAACUGGCGGUUAGUGAACGGAGCUGCUCUUUACGUAAAUUAAGUAAAGGUGUUGGCAAUGGAGGACAGUAGAAGCAUUAGUAGCAGGAGAUUUUUACAAAUGAGAAUAUAUAUGUAGAUAGAAUCUGAAUUGAUAUGGUUGGAUCGUCUCAUUAUAACUUUGCAUCUUGCAUCUUUAUGAGUUGAUUUCAAUUCCUUCUAUGACAAGAAAAAAUGGUGUUCACAUA